rnacentral:rRNA from 1 species
UACGUAGGUGGCAAGCGUCACUCGGAAUCACUAGGCGUAAAGCGCGGGUAGGCGGUUGGGUAAGUCUGUUGUGAAAGCUCCUGGCUUAACUGGGAGAGGUCAACGGAAACUACCUGGCUAGAGUGUGGUAGAGGAAACUGGAAUUCCUGGUGUAGCGGUGAAAUGCGUAGAUAUCAGGAGGAACACCUAUGGCGAAAGCAGGUUUCUGGACCAUCACUGACGCUGAUCUGCGAAAGCUAGGGGAGCAAACAGG